CCGGCGGUGGGACAAUGCCAGGCGGGGAGUUUGACUGGGGCGGUCGCCUCCGAAAGGGUAUCGGAGGCGCCCAAAGGUUCCCUCAGAAUGGACGGAAACCAUUCGAAGAGUGCAAAGGCAGAAGGGAGCUUGACUGCGACACCGACGGGUGGAGCAGGUACGAAAGUAGGGCUUAGUGAUCCGGUGGUAUUAAGUGGGAAUGCCAUCGCUCAACGGAUAAAAGCUACCCUGGGGAUAACAGGCUUAUCACUCCCAAGAGUUCACAUCGACGGAGUGGUUUGGCACCUCGAUGUCGGCUCAUCGCAUCCUGGGGCUGUAGUAGGUCCCAAGGGUUGGGCUGUUCGCCCAUUAAAGCGGUACGCGAGCUGGGUUCAGAACGUCGUGAGACAGUUCGGUCCCUAUCCGGCGUGGGCGCAGGAUAUCUGAGAGGAGCUGUCCUUAGUACGAGAGGACCGGGAUGGACGGACCGCUGGUGGACCGGUUGGCUUGCCAAAGCCAUGGCCGGGUAGCCAAGUCCGGAAGGGAUAAACGCUGAAGGCAUCUAAGCGUGAAGCCCCCCUCAAGAUGAGAUAUCCCAUUCUUAGUGAAGUAAACCCCCUUGAAGACGACGAGGUAGAUAGGGCAGAGGUGGAAGUGUGG
rnacentral:rRNA from 1 species